GUGGGUAUAGCUCAGGUGGUAGAGCACCGGUUUGUGGAUCCGGUGGUCGCGGGUUCAACUCCCGUUAUCCACCCCA
rnacentral:tRNA from 1 species